ACUCAAAGGAAUUGACGGGGGCCCGCACAAGCAGCGGAGCGUGUGGUUUAAUUCGACGCGACGCGGAGCACCUUACCAGGGCUUGACAGGGACCUGCGGGUCGGGGAAACCCGGCCGCCUUCGAGGGGGGUCCACAGAUGCUGCAUGGCUGUCGUCAGCUCGUGCCGUGAGGUGUUGGGUUAAGUCCCGCAACGAGCGCAACCCCCGCCGCCAGUUGCACUGCUCUGGCGGGACUGCCGGCCGCAAGCCGGAGGAAGGUGGGGAUGACGUCAAGUCCGCAUGGCUCUGACGCCCUGGGCGACACACACGCUACAAUGGCGGCGACAGAGGGCGAUGCCAACCCGCGAGGGGGAGCCAAUCCCACAAACGCCGCCUCAGUUCGGAUCGGGGGCUGCAACCCGCCCCCGUGAAGCCGGAGUUGCUAGUAACCGCGGGUCAGCACUACCGCGGUGAAUAUGUUCCCGGGCCUUGUACACACCGCCCGU
rnacentral:rRNA from 1 species